AAUGAACGCUGGCGGCAGGCCUAACACAUGCAAGUCGAACGGGUCCUUCGGGACUAGUGGCGGACGGGUGAGUAACGCGUGGGAACGUGCCCCUUGGUACGGAAUAGCCCCGGGAAACUGGGAGUAAUACCGUAUGUGGUCGAGAGACGAAAGAUUUAUCGCCAAGGGAUCGGCCCGCGUUGGAUUAGGUAGUUGGUGGGGUAAUGGCCUACCAAGCCGACGAUCCAUAGCUGGUUUGAGAGGAUGAUCAGCCACACUGGGACUGAGACACGGCCCAGACUCCUACGGGAGGCAGCGGUGGGGAAUCUUAGACAAUGGGGGAAACCCUGAUCUAGCCAUGCCGCGUGAUCGAUGAAGGCCUUAGGGUUGUAAAGAUCUUUCAGGUGGGAAGAUAAUGACUGUACCACCAGAAGAAGCCCCGGCUAACUCCGUGCCAGCAGCCGCAGUAAUAC
rnacentral:rRNA from 1 species